UACUUUUGCCUCCUUCAGGGCAUAUUCAAACCAUCAUCUCACGUAAUUUGAGACCAUCUGUGACAGCGGCGUUCUCCUACUACUACUGUCGAUGUUGUUGUCCUCUAUUCGCCGAUUCUGGCUAUUCCUGAUGAACUAAAGGCGUUUGACGAAAUGGGUAUUGGGUGAUUCAGGGAACUUUUGAAGCUGAGGGGUGGUGUUUUCGUGGGCGGUGAUUUUUCCUAUAAACAAGUAGAAGACAAAUUUGUUUUAGAGAUAGAGAAACAUAUAUUCAUGUAAUCUUAUAUAUUUUUGCGUCUAAUUUUUAAGUUUGAAGGGCAUUUGUCAAUGGAGGGGUUGAACACUGAAUAGGGCGACGCGAGUAUGAACUAUCAAGAAUUGACAAACGACGUCGUAAUAGUUGGACACUGUAUAUUUUGAUUGGACCAAAUUCCACAUUAUCAUUAGGGGGG
rnacentral:lncRNA from 1 species